AUACAUGAGUCCAAGAGUUCAACGACAGUGCAGUUAACUUAGGAGAAAACUACAUUAUUGCCUCAAGUAUAUACAAAGACCUGAAGGAAAAAUUAAAUUAUCAAAAUCCCUGAAUAAUCAGGAAGGUUUCCCUUCUUUGAUUAAAAUAGAGAAAGUUAUACUAUAAUUGGUUUACUGUUAAGCUUAACUGGUUCAUUUGUAAGAAUUACAGAGAGACACAGGAGACCAUAAUCAAAGGGAUAAUGAGAUAACAUGGUUUAGAGGAAAGAAUAGAGAUAAUUGAGUCAUACAGACUUAAAUUUGUAUAACAAAAAAUAAUUAACUUAAUAUAUGCUCAUAAAUAUUGCUUUAAACUUUUUAAAAAAUUGAUAUCCUAAAAGGCUGUUGGAUCAUAUAGUUUUAAAAGUAUCUUAUUGUACCUUUAAUUUGCAUUUGAGAUUUUGGAAAAAUGGAGAAGAAAGUACUUUGGUGCUCAAUCUGCCAUUUUAAGAGGUAGGUAGAACUAAAAUCCCUGUGGACCAGCCAUGUAACCUUAAGUGACUUUCCUUACCCUAGGCUUCACUUUUCCCAGGUGCUACAUUUUCAUAUUAUGGCACCCACAUUUGUUAUGAAGACUAAAUAAACGCAUAUUUGAAAGCACCAGAAGUCAAAUUCAUUACCUUUUCUGGGAUGACCAUGGAUUUUCAUAUUCUUCACUAUUUGGUAGUCACCUAUGCUUGCCACUCCUGUUUGGACUGAAAUGGCCCUUCAUAUGAAGAUGUGUCCAGUUAUUCAUUUGAAAGGUACAGCUAAUGUUGUAUGGUGCAGAUGCUAAGACAGCCACUUAAUCACAGAGAUUCAUGGAGAAAAAGUAGAGGACAAAUGUAUAGAUUUUGAUUUUUUCAUAUACUCUUCUGAGUAAAGUGAGAAAAAUCUUGGUAAAGGAAAUGUUAACCAUUUGGGACACGUCCUUACAUUAAUACAAAUUAGUAGUUGCUGACUUGGUUUUCCUGGCCUGAAAGAAAAUAAAAAUGAGUCC
rnacentral:lncRNA from 1 species